UACGUAGGGGGCAAGCGUUAUCCGGAUUCAUUGGGCGUAAAGCGCGCGUAGGCGGCUUGUUAAGUCAGAUGUGAAAACCGGGGGCUCAACCCGCGGCCUGCAUCUGAAACUGACAGGCUUGAGUCUGGUAGAGGAAAGUGGAAUUCCUGGUGUAGCGGUGAAAUGCGCAGAUAUCAGGAGGAACACCAGUGGCGAAGGCGGCUUUCUGGGCCACGACUGACGCUGAGGCGCGAAAGCUAGGGGAGCGAACAGGAUUAGAUACCCGGGUA
rnacentral:rRNA from 1 species